UGCAAAUUUGCAUUGUCUCUUGUUGAUUACUUUAUUCUUAGGAUAUUGGUCCCCACCUACUCACUAAGACACAGGACCUCAAUCGUCCUUCAACAACAUCUGGAGCUGGGGCUGGAAGAAAUCCCUUGGGCCCUCCAAGCUUACUGCCCAGGAAAGAAGAGCCACAGUUUCUUCCGUGGGUGGCUGGAUCAGCCAACGCUGUCCCUCACUCUGUCCGUAAUGGUCAGUCAGCCAAGGAAAGAGUGUCUAGUUUGGCCUACUCAUCUGCACCAAAAAAUAUCAAAGAAGUUUUAUUCAAGCAGAGCUAACACUAUCAGCAAGUUUCAUUCCAAAGUCAAUAUGUGCAUGGCAAUAGGAAUCACGACAAGCAAUGUCAAGGGAAAGUGAGACACAAGGGGAGAGAGUUGCUUUCAGUAAGUCCUUUAUCCUCCUUACCCAAAAAUACCCAUUUCAGCAUGAAUUUUGGAGUUCCAGAGUUUUAUUUUACUGACAAAUGUGGCUUUUAUGUACUAUCUUCUUUUGUAAAUUCUGCACACUGUUAGGCAUUUUUUCACAAGUGGGAAAGUCCACUUUGUCACUGGAUAAAGAUGAAUUUACUACUUUAAUAAUUUGCAAAGAGCACAAAAGU
ensembl:lincRNA